rnacentral:lncRNA from 1 species
GAAAGUAGUAGAAACAAACACAGAGAGAACUGAAUCAUAAACACAUAGGAGAUUGGCAAUAUUAAACUAGAAGAGACAUACUAGUUGCAAAAGUAAGCAGAAAGAAAAGCAGAGUACUUGCACCCACAACCAAAGAAACUAACAUAUGACUUCAGAGAAAACUUGAAAGCUUUUGAGAAAACUAAGAGUGUUUGAGAUAAGUAGUGAGUAUAUGUGUGUGUUCGUUAGAACUUGUGUGUUUGAAAGAGAAGAGUGUAGGUAUUUAUACCUUUGAAACAUGUAGAAACAAGGUAAUAAGUACAAUUUUAACAUAAAUAUGGGCAUGAUUGCUAUCAGAAUCAAUUAACACAAGAUUUCCCUUUAAUCAGGGGAUUCUUAUUCAAACGGGUACUAUCAGGACCCCAAAUAAGGAAAGGAAAUCAAUGUGUGAGCAGGGUGACAAUUACCAUAAAUGAAACAGUAAAAUCAUACAGUAGGCAAUUAAAGUACAGGCUUGUAAUUAUUUUUGGGAAGGUUCAGUAAGGCCGAACAAAGAAGGAGAAUCAAUUAGCCCUUGACAAGCGAGUAAAAGAAAAAUCAGAAUCUCACAAAAGGAAAAGCUUGAAAUCAAUUACGAGUUUGAAAAAUCAUUAUCAGAAGAGACUUAGUAUAUAAAUGAGUGUUCAAACAGCAGACAUGUGAGGCCAAACUAUGGCAAAAGAAAUAUCAUACAGUAGAGCAAUCAUUCGAAACAUGCUAGUCAUGUAAGUCAGGUUUCAGAGAAAAAGGGUCAGAAGCAUGCAAGGAGUCGAGUGAGCCAUAGUCGAGUUUGACAAUUAGCAAGUACUCAGAACCAAAAGGAUUACAUGCUGAAGUAAAGGAUUCGGACUAGGCAAUUUCAAACAGACGAAGAACUUCAGGAAUUCAAAUAGACCCCCGAAGAACUAGGGUUUUCAAAAAAAAUCAUGCAGGUUUAGAGGAGAUAAGCAGAUAAACACAGAAAUAGUCUCAAAAUCUCCAAUAAACCCUAAAGGUUAGGGUUUUCACCACUUAAGCAGUAAAUCAAACAAAUAAUAACAUGUAGACUUAGAAACUCAAACAAAUCUAAAAAAUUAGGAUUUUUCAUCACUAGUUAAACCUAGAGAUAAUAAGCAGAUGAAUCGAACAAAGCAUUAAAAGACAGACUCAGAAACCUUAAUUUAAAAUCAAAGGGUUUUGAAAAGGAAAUUUGGGAAAAAUGCUUUAAACGUCACAUAUAGCAUAGAUCUAGCACAUAUCUUAAACAAAUAAAUGAAAAAGAACCUUGAAUAGUCUUGGGUUUCUGAGAACCCUAAAGAACGAGAAAGGCUUGGAAGAUACAAGAUCAUAUAUGAGUCGAUAAGGUCGGAACCAGGCUCAGGAGGCUAAGAUAUGCCGGAGAACAUCUAGAAAUGGUUGAAAACCUUUGAAUUGAUGAAGGCCUGGGUGAAGACCCUCGAAGACUGGCCUCGAAUCUUUUGGCAUCAGGCAUGGGAGAGUAGUAGGAGGUGAGUAUAGGUCAUCCACGACUAGGGCGGCCAUGGAUUCCGGUGAGUUUGGGGGUUGAAAGGGGUAGGAGGCGAUUAGCGUUUUGAGAGCGUUUUAGAGAAGAUAGGAAUUAGUGGGGGCGUAUCUGAG